AAAGUAUAUAUGUACAUGUAUUAUAUACAUGAAAAUACAAAAAAUGCAAAGCAAAUUAAAAGAAGCUUGUUCUCAUCACACCCUAUCAUCUAUAAAGAAAACCAACCACAACACACCCUCCAUACUCUAUCCUUUAAGCUAAAAGAAAAGCUUCUCUCUUAUUCCCUUCACUUGUCUUCUUCUUACAAUCCACAAUCAUCAUGCAAUGAUAAUUAGAUUUUAUAUAUAUUUAUCUUCUUUCAUCCUAUGAUAUAACAAAAUAAUAUACAAAGGUAUAUUAUAUAUCAUAUGCAUAAAAAAGAAGAAAAAGAAAAGAGAAUUAUUAUUGCAUAUAUGGGUAGUAAUAGCAUUUUUGUUGCAAGGUUAUUGUUUAGAGCAUUAUUAGUGUUGGUCUUGGUGGGGCUUGUUUGUGUUUUUGUAUUAGUUAAUGGUGGCAAUGGAGGAAGAACAAGAAAGGCUUCAGAAACACUACAAGUGAAGAAGAUAGCUAGAGAUAACAACAUGAUGAGCAAUAACAAUAGGAGGGUUUUCAAUGGACCAGAUCCAAUUCAUAACAGGAGAGCAGGAAAUAAUUCUGGUCAACCUCCCGCUCAAUCUUAGUCAACAUAAAAUUCUACAAGCUUCACUCCCACCAUUUGACGAGGAGUAAUUCUUGCAUAUACACCUCAUAUUUUGGGACAUAUAUGGAAGGCUAAAGAGGGAGGGGUAAAAAAAGAAAAGAGAAGCUUGUGCCACAGAAGAUAAGCUCAAAGCAGUGAAAACAAAGUUUUGUUAUGUCUGAGAAGUGCAGCGAACUAUAGUUCAAAUGACAUAAUUUUUUCGUUUUCAUUUAAAGGUCUCGAAUUCAAAUCUGUUCUUGCUGAGAUUGGUCGGUGUAUAACUCGUCUGCCGGAAAAUGCUUGUAAGCUCUCUGUCCAGAUGAAGUAUAUGAAAGAACAAGGGGAUGGAUACCUGCAAAA